AUGAACGCUGGCGGCGUGCCUCAUCCAUGCAAGUCGAGCGCACAGAUGAGGAGCUUGCUCCUCUGACGUUAGCGGCGGACGGGUGAGUAACACGUGGAUAACCUACCUAUAAGACUGGGAUAACUUCGGGAAACCGGAGCUAAUACCGGAUAAUAUAUUGAACCGCAUGGUUCAAUAGUGAAAGACGGUUUUGCUGUCACUUAUAGAUGGAUCCGCGCCGCAUUAGCUAGUUGGUAAGGUAACGGCUUACCAAGGCAACGAUGCGUAGCCGACCUGAGAGGGUGAUCGGCCACACUGGAACUGAGACACGGUCCAGACUCCUACGGGAGGCAGCAGUAGGGAAUCUUCCGCAAUGGGCGAAAGCUUGACGGAGCAACGCCGCGUGAGUGAUGAAGGUCUUCGGAUCGUAAAACUCUGUUAUUAGGGAAGAACAAAUGUGUAAGUAACUAUGCACGUCUUGACGGUACCUAAUCAGAAAGCCACGGCUAACUACGUG
rnacentral:rRNA from 1 species